UGACUUCAGAAGCUGACAGUCCUGUCUGCAUGUUUUUCUCAUGCCAAGAGGAAGUCAUGGUUAAAACCCUGGAGCCAGACUGCCUGGACUCAAAUCCCAGCUCUGCCAUUUCCCAGCUGUGUGACCUCAGCCCCGCUGUUGUCAGCUUUAGCCCUCUUCUCAAGCGUGAGGACAUUCUGCAGAGGCCGGCUCCCUGACCUUCUGCUUCAGAGGCCAUUAAUUGUUUUGUUGGGUCCAUAUGGUGUUUUAAAAAUUUUGAAACAGUUCC
rnacentral:lncRNA from 1 species